GGAUGGAUGGAUGGAUGGAUAAAUGGAUGGAUGGAUGGAGAAAUGGAUAGAGUCUGAAGCAGCCAUUGAAUCCAACCGCCUACACGGUGCCAGAAUUCAAACUCUAACAAUCCUGGCUUAUGACUCUCCAAGCUUCUACUUGAACAUAUCCAGUGCCGUAAACGAAAACCCUCUUUGCUGUUUUCUCUUGACAAUAUUGAUGAGGUUGGUGCACAAAUGAGGAGCCAAAUAAAAAGUCAUGUUAAUUUCAAGCUCCAGUGAAAACCGUGGCAGGGAUAAACAGGAGGGGGAAAUCAAAAGUUUCUGAAAAGAUACAGAAAACAGCUGGAGCCGAAGCGUUGAUCUCCAGCGUCAAAAGUAUCAUUGUAUGGAUAGUUACAGCACUAUCAAGAUGCACCGUGUUGUACAAAGUAGAAAGGAAUGGUGGAGUCAGAGGAAUAGAAGGAGAUCCAGCAAAGGGAUAAACAAGGGGAGCAGAAGCAUUUCAAAUAUAUGUACCUAGACUUAAUUACAGUAAUUAAUGUCACUUAAUACUGCAUAAAUUUGGCUUAUCAUGUCUGCUGUGUAGUACCCAAAUAAUGGAUGGCAUAUUAAAAUGACUUUAAGAGCC